CCCGAGGCUAGAGUCACGCCUGGACACUGACCCGUUGUCCUGGUGUGCUAGAGUGCUCGCAGAGGAAAAAACGUCUUUGCUUAUUCAUUGGCUGAAAUCUGCUGUGACCCAGUCAAUCACCAACUCAGACACACUG
ensembl:snoRNA small nucleolar RNA SNORA3/SNORA45 family